CAACCAUGGGCUUGUGCUGGAAAAAGGUGAAAUGGGGGAAACGGUGUCAGUAAUUAACACUGUGGAUACUUCCCAUGAGGACAUGAUUCAUGAUGCCCAGAUGGACUACUACGGCACCCGCCUGGCAACCUGCUCAUCGGACAGGUCCGUCAAGAUCUUCGACGUGCGCAACGGAGGGCAGAUCCUCAUCGCCGACCUCAGGGGCCAUGAGGGUCCUGUGUGGCAAGUGGCCUGGGCCCACCCCAUGUAUGGCAAUGUCCUGGCAUCCUGCUCCUAUGACCGGAAAGUCAUUAUCUGGAAAGAGGAAAAUGGCACCUGGGAGAAGACGCAUGAGCACACGGGACACGACUCCUCAGUAAACUCUGUGUGCUGGGCGCCCCAUGACUACGGCCUGAUGCUAGCUUGUGGGAGCUCGGAUGGAGCCGUCUCUCUGCUGACUUAUACCGGGUUGGGCCAGUGGGAAGUGAAGAAGAUCAGCAAUGCUCACACUGUAAGUGUCCCCCUCCCUGUGUAUAGGGGGUAGCUCUGUGGCCUUGCCUCGUGUCCCCUGUUCACUCCUUAGAGAGUGGCAGGAACAGUGUCACUGCUGUGCGGUGGGCCAGGGGAGGGGGCUGCUGAUCAGACAUGCUUGGGAGAGCAGCUCUGAGCCUCUCUGCUCUGAAGCCAGACAGGCUGCAUCCAGGGAGGCCAGGCUGCCCCAGCCUCAUUCAGCCCAUGGCAGGGUUGGCACUGGUUCCUCCAAGUCGGGGAGGGCCGGGGCACUGGCAAGGUGGCAGCAGUAG